rnacentral:lncRNA from 1 species
UGCAAUGGCACAAUCUCAGUUCACUGCAACCUCCCAGCACAUACCUGCCAACUGAUUCUGGCUGUAGGGGACGAAGGAUGAAGGGGUGAAGGAUGCCUGUGAGGUUUGGGGCCUAAAUAAGCAGAUGCCUGGAUGGCCAUUUACUGAGACAAGGAAGAUGGGUGGACACUGGUUUGCAGGGAAGUCCAAGAGUUCUUUCCAUCCAGGGCUGACCUCCAAGUGCAGA